GGCAAAGAGCUGGGACAGGAACCUGCACCAAACCUUUGACACACAAGACGUUUCCCUUUGGGGCCAAGGCAAACAAAGGAAGGAAGCGUCUGGGACUUUUAAAGCGACCCGGUGGAGACAGCACUGGGAAUGGGAUCAGCAAGGAGUUUUCAGUGGGAUGCCGCCUCUGGCAGCACAUCCUGCACCAUCUCAGCUGCUGAGGGACUUCAGCUUUUCCCAAAAUAACAUCCCCGAUUCCUAAUCCCUGUAAAAAAA